AUACAGGGCUCUUUUGGGUCUUGUAAUCGGAAUGAGUACAAUUUAAACCCCUUAACGAGGAACAAUUGGAGGGCAAGUCUGGUGCCAGCAGCCGCGGUAAUUCCAGCUCCAAUAGCGUAUAUUAAAGUUGUUGCAGUUAAAAAGCUCGUAGUUGAACCUUGGGCCUGGCUGGCCGGUCCGCCUCACCGCGUGUACUGGUCCGGCCGGGCCUUUCCUUCUGGAGAUCCUCAUGCCCUUCACUGGGUGUGUUGGGGAACCAGGACUUUUACUGUGAACAAAUUAGAGUGUUCAAAGCAGGCCUUUGCUCGAAUACAUUAGCAUGGAAUAAUAGAAUAGGACGUGCGGUCCUAUUUUGUUGGUUUCUAGGACCGCCGUAAUGAUUAAUAGGGAUAGUCGGGGGCAUCAGUAUUCAAUUGUCAGAGGUGAAAUUCUUGGAUUUAUUGAAGACUAACUACUGCGAAAGCAUUUGCCAAGGAUGUUUUCAUUAAUCAGUGAACGAAAGUUAGGGGAUCGAAGACGAUCAGAUACCGUCGUAGUCUUAACCGUAAACUAUGCCGACUAGGGAUCGGGCGAUGUUUC
rnacentral:rRNA from 1 species